UGGUUUUUUUAGGUAGUGAGGGACGAGCGGGAGCAAGCGCAGGUACUUACGGCAAUUACAACCAGCUGUGGAGGAACGGAUCUCCGCUCGGGUCUCAUCACUCUUUCCGAAAUGAGUUUUAACCACCUGAAAGAGAGCUGGGAGUCGGUGGGUAACGAUGUGCUAAACGUGCAGUACUAUAAUCACCUAACCCACUAAUGCAGGAUCUGAUAGGACGGGACAGAUGAGGACACACUCUGUAGGCUAUGGCGGUAGUGGUGAGGUCUGGGAACAGGGGGCCUCUGGGGGAUCGUCUGACGACGCUAGUGGCUCAGCGUGUGCCAGAAUGAAAAGGAGACGUCUCAGAGUUCAGUGAACAAAACCAGAGGUAGUGUUGGCCCUGAGACCACGUAAGGAAAAACCUCCAGAGGAGCCAGCAAAACAUCUGGACCAUUCCCAGACAUUUGAUGGCAGUUAUGGUUCUUCACAUAUGGCAUAAAUUCAUCAUUAGCCCACAUGGGAACAUAGUGGAGCAAAGCAUGCUGGGAAGACUUUGGCCAU